GCUCAGGAUGAACGCUGACAGAAUGCUUAACACAUGCAAGUCAACUUGAACUUCGGUUUGGGUGGCGGACGGGUGAGUAACGCGUAAAGAACUUGCCUCACAGAUAGGGACAACAUUUGGAAACGAAUGCUAAUACCUGAUAUUAUGAUUUUAGGGCAUCCUAGAAUUAUGAAAGCUAUAUGCGCUGUGAGAGAGCUUUGCGUCCCAUUAGCUAGUUGGAGAGGUAACAGCUCACCAAGGCGAUGAUGGGUAGCCGGCCUGAGAGGGUGAUCGGCCACAAGGGGACUGAGACACGGCCCUUACUCCUACGGGAGGCAGCAGUGGGGAAUAUUGGACAAUGGACCAAGAGUCUGAUCCAGCAAUUCUGUGUGCACGAUGAAGUUUUUCGGAAUGUAAAGUGCUUUCAGUUGGGAAGAAAAAAAUGACGGUACCAACAGAAGAAGUGACGGCUAAAUACGUGCCAGCAGCCGCGGUAAUACGUAUGUCACAAGCGUUAUCCGGAUUUAUUGGGCGUAAAGCGCGUCUAGGUGGUUAUGUAAGUCUGAUGUGAAAAUGCAGGGCUCAACUCUGUAUUGCGUUGGAAACUGUGUAACUAGAGUACUGGAGAGGUAAGCGGAACUACAAGUGUAGAGGUGAAAUUCGUAGAUAUUUGUAGGAAUGCCGAUGGGGAAGCCAGCUUACUGGACAGAUACUGACGCUGAAGCGCGAAAGCGUG
rnacentral:rRNA from 1 species